GCGCCGGUAGUCUAGUGGUAGGACGUAGGCCUGCCUAGCCUAAGACCCGGGUUCGAAUCCCGGCCGGCGCA
rfam:Candidatus Nanopusillus sp. Nst1 Nst1_C2, whole genome shotgun sequence.